AUUGAACGCUGGCGGCAGGCCUAACACAUGCAAGUCGAGCGAGCGGCGGACGGGUGAGUAAUGUCUGGGAAACUGCCUGAUGGAGGGGGAUAACUACUGGAAACGGUAGCUAAUACCGCAUACCAUCAGAUGUGCCCAGAUGGGAUUAGAUGGUGGGUGGGGUAAUGGCUCACCUAGGCGACGAUCCCUUGCUGGUCUGAGAGGAUGACCAGUCAUGCUGGAACUGAGACACGGUCCAGACGCCUACGGGAGGCAGCAGGGGGGAAUAUUGCACAAUGGGCGCAAGCCGGAUGCAGCCAUUCCGCGUGUGUGAAGAAGGCCUUCGGGUUGUAAAGCACUUUCAGCGGGGAGGCGUUACCAGCAGAAGAAGCACCGGCUAACUCCGUGCCAGCAGCCGCGGUAAUAC
rnacentral:rRNA from 1 species